GACGAACGCUGGCGGCGUGCUUAACACAUGCAAGUCGAGCGGUAAGGCCCUUCGGGGUACACGAGCGGCGAACGGGUGAGUAACACGUGAGCAAUCUGCCCUUCUCUUUGGAAUAACCAUUGGAAACGAUGGCUAAUGCCGAAUAUGACCUCCUUUCGCAUGUUUGGAGGUGGAAAGCUCCGGCGGAGAUGGAUGAGCUCGCGGCCUAUCAGCUUGUUGGUGAGGUAAUGGCUCACCAAGGCAUUGACGGGUAGCCGGCCUGAGAGGGUGACCGGCCACACUGGGACUGAGACACGGCCCAGACUCCUACGGGUGGCAG
rnacentral:rRNA from 1 species